AUUGAACGCUGGCGGAAUGCUUUACACAUGCAAGUCGAGCGGCAGCGCGGCCUUCGGGCUGGCGGCGAGCGGCGAACGGGUGAGUAAUGCAUCGGAACAUGCCCAGUCGUGGGGGAUAACACUUCGAAAGAAGUGCUAAUACCGCAUACGUCCUGAGGGGGAAAGCGGGGGAUCGCAAGACCUCGCGCGAUUGGAGUGGCCGAUGUCAGAUUAGCUAGUUGGUGGGGUAAAGGCCUACCAAGGCGACGAUCUGUAGCUGGUCUGCGAGGAUGAUCAGCCACACUGGGACUGAGACACGGCCCAGACUCCUACGGGAGGCAGCAGUGGGGAAUUUUGGACAAUGGGGGCAACCCUGAUCCAGCCAUUCCGCGUGAGUGAAGAAGGCCUUCGGGUUGUAAAGCUCUUUCGGCAGGAACGAAACGGUGGGCUCUAACAUAGUCCGCUAAUGACGGUACCUGAAGAAGAAGCACCGGCUAACUACGUG
rnacentral:rRNA from 1 species